rnacentral:rRNA from 1 species
UACAGAGGUCUCGAGCGUUAGGCGGAAUCACUGGGCUUAAAGCGUGUGUAGGCGGAUCGUUAAGUACCUUGUGAAAUCCCACGGCUUAACCGUGGAACUGCUUGGUAUACUGGCGGUCUUGAGCCAGCUAGGGGCUACCGGAACAAAUGGUGGAGCGGUGAAAUGCGUAGAUAUCAGUUGGAACGCCAAUGGUGAAAACAGGUAGCUGGGGCUGUGCUGACGCUGAGACACGAAAGCCAGGGGAGCAAACGGG